AUUGAACGCUGGCGGCAUGCCUUACACAUGCAAGUCGAACGGUAACGGGCCUUCGGGUGCCGACGAGUGGCGAGCGGGUGAGUAAUGCAUCGGAACGUACCUUUCAGUGGGGGAUAACGUAGCGAAAGUUACGCUAAUACCGCAUAUUCUGUGAGCAGGAAAGCAGGGGAUCGCAAGACCUUGCGCUGAUUGAGCGGCCGAUGUCAGAUUAGCUAGUUGGUGAGGUAAAGGCUCACCAAGGCGACGAUCUGUAGCGGGUCUGAGAGGAUGAUCCGCCACACUGGAACUGAGACACGGUCCAGACUCCUACGGGAGGCAGCAGUGGGGAAUUUUGGACAAUGGGGGCAACCCUGAUCCAGCCAUGCCGCGUGAGUGAAGAAGGCCUUCGGGUUGUAAAGCUCUUUCGGCCGGGAAGAAAUCGUAUGGGUUAAUACCCUGUGCGGAUGACGGUACCGGCAUAAGAAGCACCGGCUGACUACGUGCCAGCAGCCGCAGUAAUAC
rnacentral:rRNA from 1 species